AGGUGCCUGGGACGCCCAGCACAUGGGGUGUGCGGCACUUCCCUUCCUAGGAGGCAGGAGCUAGCCGAGGCUCCCCUCCACUUUGUCCUCCUGCUGGUCUCACAUCCUCUCAGGUUUGUUGAGGACAGUGUGAUCAUCCAGGUAUAUCACUAAAGGAAACAGAAACACCUCUUUCAUCACCUACCCAAGGAAUCAUGAAAAGAGGUAAUUUGGAAACACUCUGGAACAAAUUCUGCCCCCUCUCCCCAACAGACCAAGCACAGCCAGCCUAGGGUGGUCAUUCAUCAACUGUCUACUUCGACAGGGAGCUCUGUCCUCGGGACAGCCAGAGCCUGUUUGGCAGAGUCCACACAGCAAACUGC